rnacentral:pre_miRNA from 14 species
GUCGUUCUCCUAGUGUUCACUGUGAGCCUUUAUGUUCCUUAUUUUUGUCAUAAGGCACGCGGUGAAUGCCAAGAGCAGACAU